rnacentral:rRNA from 1 species
CCUACGGGGAGCUGCAGUGGGGAAUAUUGGGCAAUGGGCGCAAGCCUGACCCAGCGACGCCGCGUGAGGGAAGACGGUCUUCGGAUUGUACACCUCUUUCAGCCGGGAAGACAAAAGGACGCUACCUGCAGAAUAAGCCACGGCUAACGACGUGCCAGCAGCCGCGGUAAUACGUAGGUGGCAAGCAUUAUCCGGAAUUACUGGGUGUACAGGGUGUGUAGGCGGGUUUGCAAGUCAGAUGUUAAAAUUAUGGGCUCAACCCAUAACCUGCGUUUGAAACUACAGAUCUUGAGUGUGGGAGAGGUAAACGGAAUGCCCGGUGUAGCGGUGAAAUGCGUAGAUAUCGGGAGGAACACCAGUGGCGAAGGCGGUUUACUGGACCACAACUGACGCUGAGACACGAAAGCGUGGGGAGCAAACAGGAUUAGAUACCCUUGUAGUC